UCCCAAUAAGCUGCUUUCAUAUUUGGAUAGUCAAAAAGUAAUGCACCAAGUUGGGACAAUACAACACAGGCUAGGGGAGAUGGUUGGAUGGAAAGCACUAAUCUAUUCAUUUACUUCACAGCCUACAAAA